GUGUAAUUACGUAGGAUGUAAAAGACGUGAGUAGCGAUAAAUACGUUUAUUGAUAUAGACGAACACAAGGAUAUAUUUCAAUCCCGGGAGAACCGCCGAACACUG
rnacentral:lncRNA from 1 species